UUGGUUAAGUUAGAAAGGGCGCACGGUGGAUGCCUUGGCACUAGGAGCCGAAGAAGGACGGGACUAACACCGAUAUGCUUUGGGGAGCUGUACGUAAGCGUUGAUCCAGAGAUUUCCGAAUGGGGGAACCCACUAUCUUUAGUCGGAUAGUAUCCUUACGUGAAUACAUAGCGUGAGGAAGGCAGACCCAGGGAACUGAAACAUCUAAGUACCUGGAGGAAGAGAAAGAAAAAUCGAUUUCCUGAGUAGCGGCGAGCGAAACGGAAAGAGCCCAAACCAAGAAGCUUGCUUCUUGGGGUUGUAGGACACUCUAUACGGAGUUACAAAAGAAAGUUAUAAAUGAAGCGGUCUGGAAAGGCCCGCCAAAGACGGUAACAGCCCGGUAGUUGAAAUGGCUUUCCCUCCAGAGUGGAUCCUGAGUACGGCGGAACACGUGAAAUUCCGUCGGAAUCCGGGAGGACCAUCUCCCAAGGCUAAAUACUCCCUAGUGACCGAUAGUGAACCAGUACCGUGAGGGAAAGGUGAAAAGCACCCCGGAAGGGGAGUGAAACAGUUCCUGAAACCGUGUGCCUACAAGUAGUUAGAGCCCGUUAAUGGGUGAUAGCGUGCCUUUUGUAGAAUGAACCGGCGAGUUACGAUUUGUUGCAAGGUUAAGCGGAAAAAGCGGAGCCGUAGCGAAAGCGAGUCUGAAUAGGGCGCAUAAGUAACAGGUCGUAGACCCGAAACCAGGUGAUCUACCCAUGUCCAGGAUGAAGGUAAGGUAAUACUUACUGGAGGUCCGAACCCACGCACGUUGAAAAGUGCGGGGAUGAGGUGUGGGUAGCGGAGAAAUUCCAAUCGAACUUGGAGAUAGCUGGUUCUCUCCGAAAUAGCUUUAGGGCUAGCCUCGAGGUAAAGAGUCAUGGAGGU
rnacentral:rRNA from 1 species